rnacentral:rRNA from 1 species
GGGCGGUUCCCCCUUCGGGGGGACAGGGUGACAGGUGGUGCAUGGUUGUCGUCAGCUCGUGUCGUGAGAUGUUGGGUUAAGUCCGCAACGAGCGCAACCCUCGACCUUAGUUGCCAGCAUUCAGUUGGGCACUCUAAGGUGACUGCCGGCUAAAAGUCGGAGGAAGGUGGGGAUGACGUCAAAUCAUCAUGCCCCUUAUGACCUGGGCUACACACGUGCUACAAUGGGCGGUACAAAGGGUCGCGAACCCGCGAGGGGGAGCCAAUCCCAAAAAGCCGCUCUCAGUUCGGAUUGCAGGCUGCAACUCGCCUGCAUGAAGCCGGAAUCGCUAGUAAUCGCGGAUCAGCAUGCCGCGGUGAAUACGUUCCCGGGCCUU